rnacentral:rRNA from 1 species
GGCCCAGCUUGCUGGGUUGGAUGAGUGGCGAACGGGUGAGUAACACGUGAGUAACCUGCCCCCUUCUUUGGGAUAACGGUCGGAAACGGCUGCUAAUACCGGGUAUUCACUGUCCUUCGCAUGGGGGGUGGUGGAAAGGUUUUUUCUGGUGGGGGAUGGGCUCGCGGCCUAUCAGCUUGUUGGUGGGGUGAUGGCUUACCAAGGCUUUGACGGGUAACCGGCCUGAGAGGGUGACCGGUCACAUUGGGACUGAGAUACGGCCCAGACUCCUACGGGAGGCAGCAGUGGGGAAUAUUGCACAAUGGGCGAAAGCCUGAUGCAGCGACGCCGCGUGAGGGAUGACGGCCUUCGGGUUGUAAACCUCUUUCGCUCAUGGUCAAGCCGCAACAGUGGUUGUGGUGAGGGUAGUGGGUAAAGAAGCACCGGCUAACUACGUGCCAGCAGCCGCGGUAAUACGUAGGGUGCGAGCGUUGUCCGGAAUUAUUGGGUGUAAAGGGCUUGUAGGCGGUUUGUCGCGUCUGCCGUGAAAUCCUCUGGCUUAACUGGGGGCGUGCGGUGGGUACGGGCAGGCUUGAGUGCGGUAGGGGAGACUGGAACUCCUGGUGUAGCGGUGGAAUGCGCAGAUAUCAGGAAGAACA